rnacentral:rRNA from 1 species
CCUACGGGAGGCAGCAGUCGAGAAUCAUUCACAAUGGGGGAAACCCUGAUGGUGCGACGCCGCGUGGGGGAAUGAAGGUCUUCGGAUUGUAAACCCCUGUCAUGUGGGAGCAAAUUAAAAAGAUAGUACCACAAGAGGAAGAGACGGCUAACUCUGUGCCAGCAGCCGCGGUAAUACAGAGGUCUCAAGCGUUGUUCGGAAUCACCGGGCGUAAAGCGUGCGUAGGCUGUUUCGUAAGUCGUGUGUGAAAGGCGCGGGCUCAACCCGCGGACGGCACAUGAUACUGCGAGACUAGAGUGAUGGAGGGGGAACCGGAAGUCUCGGUGUAGCAGUGAAAUGCGUAGAUAUCGAGAGGAACACUCGUGGCGAAGGCGGGUUCCUGGACAUUAACUGACGCUGAGGCACGAAGGCCAGGGGAGCGAAAGGGAUUAGAUACCCGGGUAGUC